UCCCUGGUGGCUCAGAUGGUAAAGAAUAUGCCUGAAAUGCAGGACACCCAGGUUCAAUCCCUGGGUCAGGGAA
rfam:TPA: Bos taurus chromosome 3, whole genome shotgun sequence.